GUUGUAUAGUCAAGUAAUUAAGUGCAUGUGGUGGAUGCCUUGGCAGUCAGAGGCGAUGAAAGACGUGAUAGCCUGCGAAAAGCUCCGGGGAGGCGGCAAAUAUCCUUUGAUCCGGAGAUGUCUGAAUGGGGGAACCCACCUACUUUAAGGUAGGUAUUGCAACAUGAAUACAUAGUGUUGCAAGGCGAACGAGGGGAAGUGAAACAUCUCAGUACCCUUAGGAAAAGAAAUCAAUUGAGAUUCCCUCAGUAGCGGCGAGCGAACGGGGAUCAGCCCCUUAAGUUAUGUGUGUUUU
rnacentral:rRNA from 1 species